AUUGAACGCUGGCGGCAUGCCUUACACAUGCAAGUCGAACGGCAGCACGGGUGCUUGCACCUGGUGGCGAGUGGCGAACGGGUGAGUAAUACAUCGGAACAUGUCCUGUAGUGGGGGAUAGCCCGGCGAAAGCCGGAUUAAUACCGCAUACGAUCUACGGAUGAAAGCGGGGGACCUUCGGGCCUCGCGCUAUAGGGUUGGCCGAUAGCUGAUUAGCUAGUUGGUGGGGUAAAGGCCUACCAAGGCGACGAUCAGUAGCUGGUCUGAGAGGACGACCAGCCACACUGGGACUGAGACACGGCCCAGACUCCUACGGGAGGCAGCAGUGGGGAAUGUUGGACAAUGGGCGAAAGCCUGAUCCAGCAAUGCCGCGUGUGUGAAGAAGGCCUUCGGGUUGUAAAGCACUUUUGUCCGGAAAGAAAUCCUUGGCUCUAAUACAGUCGGGGGAUGACGGUACCGGAAGAAUAAGCACCGGCUAACUACGUG
rnacentral:rRNA from 1 species